AAAUAAAUGGUUUCAAAUCACAACUUUUUUUAAAUAAAAAAUUAUCAAUCAACAAAUAUUUAGCUCUUAUCGUUCAAAGAUUUUAAUGUUUAAUUUUUAGUUUUAUCUAAUAACAUCAUUGAAUUGAUAUUUUGACCACCUAUUUAUUUAUUUGUUUGUUUUUUUAAGUAAGAGAAUUUUUAUAGAUUGAGUGUCUUUCCAAGAAAUUUGGUACCUAUGAUAAAAUUAUAUAUAUCUUAUAGAAAUCCAUCUAGGAAUGAUUUCAUAAAAGUUUUAAAUUGAUUUCCAUGUUUCCAUCACUUCAUUCAUAGUUGACUACUUAAGAAUGAUUUUAGUCUAAAAACGCAAAAAAUUUUUUAAAAAAAAAAAAAAAAAAAAAAAAAACAGAAAAAGAAGAUAACAAAGUGUCUUUUUGUUGGAUUAUGAAGCCUAAACGAGUCUUGUUGUACUAUGCAAAGACAUAUUAGGGUCAAGAUGAAGUUUUUAUUUUUUAUUGAAUGAAGUUUUAACCCUAUUAUGAUUUAAGGUUUUUUUUUUAGAGAGAAAACUUAGAGUGCAACUACAACUGCAACUAAGAAGAGAGUGAAAGAGUCUUCCAUUGUAACUUUUCUCUUUUGUUUGAUUGGUGUAUUUUUUUUAGUGAUGGUGUGCUCUGUGGAUGUAGGGAUCACAUUGAUCAUUGGAUUAUUUUAAAAAAUUUGUUGUCAUUUCUUUAUUUUAGCUUGUGUAUGUGAUUUGGUUAAUACUUUGAUCAACUUAGUUUAUAGUUAAGAAAUAUAUGUAUUAUGAAAGAAGAUAAAAUCAACUUUGGACCACAUAAAGGUGAGUCCAAACGAAGGUAUUUUAUUUUAAAAAUUAUGAUUUAGAUAGAAAAUUUUUCCAAACAAUUAUUGGUCUUUGGUUUCACAUCUAAGUUGUAGAUGGUUAAUGAGUAAUAUACUAAUCAAAUAAGUCUAGUUGAAGUGAAUCAUAUUGAAAAGGAAAAAUUUACACUACAAAAAUAUUAAUUUGAUUCAUAUUUUGAACCACACAGCAUAUAAGUGAUUUUGCAUAACUUAGCACAUAUCUAAAAGUACACAAAAUAAUAAUAAUAAUAAUAAUUUGGUUUUUUUAUGCAAAUGAUGUCAUCACUUCCUUGGUCUUUAGAGAGUUACAAAACUUUGAAAGUUAGAGAGAAGUCUUUUUCAUAUCUAAAAUUAAUUAAAGACAAGUCUUGAACAUAAUUGGUGGGUCAUUUUUUUCUUGGGAGUUAGUGACUUUCUAGUUUUUUUUAAUGAGAGGACGGGAUCUUUCUAAUAAUGAAUUUGAUGAUUAAUCUAGACUAUGCUCUUACUUUCCUAGCCUUGAGUUUGAAAUAAAGGUAAAGAAUAUUUUAUUUUUUCUAAGAUGUUACAUUAAAUCUUAAUCAAGCCAAGAAUAUAAUAUAAAUAUUUUUUACUCAUUUUUAAUAUAUACCAUCAAAACCUUAUCAACAACAAUAAAGAAAAAGAAAUAUAUGAGACCCUUAAUUCAAGUAAUAAAAUUCUAUGAAAGUAGUUUUUCCAAUAGAAUAAAGAAAAGUAUGUAAAUAAAAUUUAUCAUUUUGUUGACUUAAUAAUUCAUGUGUUCAACAAGAAGACUUAUCAAAUAUGCUAAAAUCGUAGUAGUUUUUUCAAUACAAGAAGGAAAAGUGUGUAAAGAGAAUUUGUCAUUUUGUUAACUCAAGAAUCCAUGUGUUCAACACAAAGACUUAUCAUAUAUGCCUAAAUCAUAUUAGCUUUUCCAAUAUAACAAGGAAAAGUAUGUAAACGGAAUUUAUCAUUUUGUUAACUUAAGAAUCCAUGUGUUCAAUACAAAGACUUAUCAAAUAUGUUAAAACCGUAGUAGUUUUUCCAAUAGAACAAGGAAAAACAUGUAAAAAUAAUUUAUCAUUUUGUUGGCCCAAGAAUCCAUGUUUUCUACAUAGACUUAUCAAAUGUGCUAAAACCACAAGCCUAGACUUAUCAUUGAUGCUAAAACCAAUAAGAGCUUUUGAUAAUAACAUAUAAUAUUUUAUAUCUCAAAUACAAUAGUUUUUUUUUAAUAUUAACUAAAUAACAACAACUAAUAUCAAUAGAAUUAUUUCCAUUAGUUUCUAUUAUAAUUAAAAUGUCUCAAAAGAGAAAUUACAAACUGAAAUAUAGACUAAUCAAUAAUGCUAAAAUAAACAAUAAUAUUACACAUUUUAUACCUAAGUUAUAAUAAAAAUUUAAUACAAAAAUAUUGGAUGAAUGAGAAAAAUAAAAAAAAUAUAAGUAAAUUAUAUUAAUAAAUUUUCUCAAAAAAGAAAGUUAAUAAUUUUCAUUACUCAAAUUAUUUUAAUGUUUAAAAUGUAUUCAUGUGGCUUAAGUUAAGUAACGGGUUAAAAAUACCUUUAAAUAGGUUAAAUAGCAUUGUCCUAAGCAGCCUUGGAUUAGUUUCAAAUGUGAAGUUCUUAAUAAUUGGAGGUGACUCUUUUAGCAAACAUAGUAGUAGAAAAACAUUUUAAGAAACUCCAAAAACUAUACUUCAUGUGGGGAGCUUUCUCUCAUUGUUGGAAGAAUUAGCAAUCUUUGACUCACAAAUUUUAGAAACAACAAAAUUUGAGGUAAUAUUCCUUACUCCAUGAGUUGUUUAUUUGCACUCAUGCAACAAUAACUUCUUUGAAAAUAUAUUCUCAAUGCUAAGGAACUACACAUUUUUGGGGCUCCUAUGUUUGGGCAAUAAUAAAUUUUUGAGAAAUACUCUAAGUUGAAUUGGAGAACUGACAAGUAUAGUGGAUUUCCAUUUGAGAUAUAACAAAUUUAUCGGCUUUACUUUGAAUGAUGUGAUAUAGUCGAAAUGUGAAUAUCAACCGCACAUUUGGAACCCUUAGUUGCACACUUGCACCCAUCACGAUUCACGUCUCAAUCCAUACCAGAUGUUACUGUUUUCCCAUUUGCCUUAGAAAAGAGAAAAACCAGUGCAAGUGGAGAAAACAAAGGAUCAUCGUUAGACCAGGUCCAAAUGGUUAGGGCAAUGAUGAAGCAGACAUUGCACCCCAUCUUCCAAAGUGACGAUCGACAAUGACAUGCAUCAAGACCCUUGACUAUACUCUUUUUUUUCUUUAGUCUUUGGCAGUUUCCUCUUUUUCCCUUCACUAUGUUCCACCCCCCCCCCCCACACCCCCCCCUUUUUUUUUUAAUGUUUUGAAAUAAGAAACUGCUAUGUUUAUAUGAGAGAAUUAUUAAUGAAAAUAACGCUUUUGUUGAUUGGAGUUUACUUUGAAAAAUGUAGCAUGACUAGCUGUCUCGUUAUUGUUUUUUCAAUUAACAAAAAAAUAAAAAUUGCACCCCGUUUGGAUCAUUUGAUUUCGCCAUUAGACACCGAUGCAUAAGGGACCGGCUGACACGGAUUUGAUUUUUCAACACAAGCGGCUAAGGUCCUGUUCCUAACACACAUACACACCAAAAAGAAAAGUAGAUUGAUCCCCGCCACAAUGUUGAUACGAAGCAUUUAUUUUUUAACAGGGUGUACUUAUUUUUUAGCAUGAUGGAGUUCAUUUGUAACUAGUAUCCUUUGAUUGAAUAAGAUGUGACCACUUCAUACAUGCCUUGACAAGGUAAAUUGAAAGAUUAUGCAAUAUCGAGGUAUCUUAGGCCAUGUAGAAAUUAUGAAUGUAAGAACUUUUCUAACAAAGUGAUGGUUGAAAAGUCAAAAAUACAAAAUUAAGAUCACAUGUCAAAAGGAUUGGAAAAAUUCAAAGAAUUUUAAUGGUCAAAUAAGUGAAUUGAAUUUGAAUACAAGGAUGACACAAAUUCCCAACAACAUGGAAAUACUUACUAUUUCUUUCUUAAAACAUUUAAAAUAUGAAUACAAGGAUGCUACUUUUUUCUUUCUUACUAUAUUUAUGUUCACAGAUUUGUGGAACUUUAUAUUUAUAUUUAGAAAGCUACUAUCAACUUGAACAUAAUCUCAUUGUCAAACCCAUUUAAUUGCAUCAAAGGUUUCAUAUUGUUCUCCUACUCAAUGCAAAUCGAAUUUCAAUCCAAUUGAGACAUCACAGGGAAAGUUUCACGCCCAACACUUGGUUCAUGAAUUUCUACACACAUGGAUACAAAGGCAAACCUAUACAUGUAAUCAACUUAUUAUAAGAGAAAUUAUGACUGGUUUCUAAGUAGCUUUAGCAUGAAUUUUAAAAGAAAAACCAUAGACCUAAGUUCUAACCAAUUAUUUUCCGAAUGCAUCUUUGUUUACCUUUUUUUAGUUUCAUAGGUUUAAAGCAUUAGCCAAAAAGCACAAUGUAUAGUAUAAAUCCUUAGCCUCCUCAUCCCAUCUGAGCUUUUCUCUGCUCAUGAGAUAUCUAAAUCAUUGCCAAUAUCCAAGUCUUAACUAUCAUCCAAAAUGUUGCCAAUUAGUUUACCUAAAAGUCUUAACUAUCAUUCAAAAUGCAAAGACUUUGACUCAUUGGUGAACACAUCCAAACAAACUUCUCAACAAUUUUGAUAUUUCUAUAAACUUGAAUUGAUGUGAUACAUGAAAAAGACUAUGAAUAAUAUGGUUUACCAAACUUUGAAAUGUUGUUAAUUAGUUUACCUGAAAGUCUUAACUAUCAUCCAAAAGACAACUUUAUUGAUUAACUUCCAUUCUAGAAUUAAUUUACUGUAGAAUUAAUUUUGAUGAUGAUUAAUGUGCAUUUUAUUUGCAGCAUAAGUGUAAUCUCAUCAACAUGAGUUAUGGAGAACAAUAAUGCUUGAAUAUGGACAAUUCGUUUGCCUUGUUAGUGAAGUAUGAAUUUCAACUCUAUUAGUUCACCAUUUUUUUUUAUAUAAUUAUUAACUCUUUAUAAGAUAAUUUUGGAGUAUAAUUGAAGUAUAUUUAGAAAAUCUCUUAAAGUAGAACACAAGCAAAAACUUGAUCAUUUAUACACUCAAAUUAACUAAUGAAUUAUUAAGAAGUCAAGUUUUAUUUUAUUUUAUUUUUCUUUUUAACAAUUUCAUUUUUAUAUGUUUUUAUAAAUAUUUAUUUGCUUUAAUCAUUUUUUUGGGAACAAUCCAUCUAAUAUUUUAUGUUGAUAUUUUUAUUGAUUAAUGUAUCAUUUAUAUAGCAUUUGAAAAUAAUAUAAAAAUAUUUUGGUUAUGAGUUAAGGUUAAAUUUGUAAAAGAUAAAUUUUUAUUUAAAUUUUCAAUAAUAUUAAAUAUUAUGUUUUUCUAGUCACAUUCAUGGUGCUAUUGUAAAAUAAAUGGUUUCAAAUCUCAACUUUGUUUAAAUAAAAAAAUUAUCAAUAAGCAAAUAUUUAGCUCUUAUCGUUCAAAGAUUUUAAUGUUUAAUUUUUAGUUUUAUCUAAUAACAUCAUUGUAAUUAAUAUUUUGACCACCUAUUUAUUUAUUUGUUCGUUUUUUAAGAAGUAAGAUUUUUUAAAGAUUUUGAGUGUCUUUCCAAGAAAUUUGGUACCUAUGAUAAAAUUAGGUAUAUCUUAUAGAAAUCCAUCUAGGAAUGAUUUCAUAAAAGUUUUAAA
rnacentral:lncRNA from 1 species